GACGAACGCUGGCGGCGUGCUUAACACAUGCAAGUCGAACGGAAAGGCCCUGCUUUUGUGGGGUGCUCGAGUGGCGAACGGGUGAGUAACACGUGAGUAACAUGCCCUUGACUUUGGGAUAACUUCAGGAAACUGGGGCUAAUACCGGAUAGGAGCUCCUGCUGCAUGGUGGGGGUUGGAAAGUUUCGGCGGUUGGGGAUGGACUCGCGGCUUAUCAGCUUGUUGGUGGGGUAGUGGCUUACCAAGGCUCUGACGGGUAGCCGGCCUGAGAGGGUGACCGGCCACAUUAGGACUGCGAUACGGCCCAGACUCCUACGUGAGGCAGCAGUGGGGAAUAUUGCGCAGUGGGCGGGAGCCUGAUGCAGCAACGCCGCGUGCGGGAUGACGGCCUUCGGGUUGUAAACCGCUUUCGCCUGUGACGAAGCGUGAGUGACGGUAAUGGGUAAAGAAGCACCGGCUAACUACGUG
rnacentral:rRNA from 1 species